ACACACACACACACACACACACACACACACACACUUCCUCCAGCAACUGCCGGGCACAGACACAGCAUUAAACACCUUCCAACUUUAAAUUGGUUCUCCAGAAGCUACCUAGUAUUCCUCAUGCAGUGUAAGGGUGAGAGUGAAGGAUGAGGCAAGAUCUGAGAUGUUGCCCAGGAUGACUCCACCACAGAGAUAUAUGUUUGUUAUAUUAUGUAAUAAAUUUAUAAUUAAAACAUGAACUGCU